rnacentral:rRNA from 1 species
UGGGGAAUAUUGGACAAUGGGCGCAAGCCUGAUCCAGCCAUGCCGCGUGAGUGAUGAAGGCCUUAGGGUUGUAAAGCUCUUUCGACGGGGACGAUGAUGACGGUACCCGUAGAAGAAGCCCCGGCUAACUUCGUGC